rnacentral:rRNA from 1 species
GAUCCCGUGCGAGGUUAAGCUGAAGAGGCGGAGCCGCAGCGAAAGCGAGUCUGAAUAGGGCGUUUAGUACGUGGUCGUAGACCCGAAACCAGGUGAUCUACCCAUGUCCAGGGUGAAGUUCAGGUAACACUGAAUGGAGGCCCGAACCCACGCACGUUGAAAAGUGCGGGGAUGAGGUGUGGGUAGCGGAGAAAUUCCAAUCGAACCUGGAGAUAGCUGGUUCUCCCCGAAAUAGCUUUAGGGCUAGCCUUAAGUGUAAGAGUCUUGGAGGUAGAGCACUGAUUGGACUAGGGGUCCUCAUCGGAUUACCGAAUUCAGUCAAACUCCGAAUGCCAAUGACUUAUCCUUAGGAGUCAGACUGCGAGUGAUAAGAUCCGUAGUCAAAAGGGAAACAGCCCAGACCGCCAGCUAAGGUCCCAAAGUGUGUAUUAAGUGGAAAAGGAUGUGGAGUUGCUUAGACAACUAGGAUGUUGGCUUAGAAGCAGCCACCAUUUAAAGAGUGCGUAAUAGCUCACUAGUCGAGUGACUCUGCGCCGAAAAUGUACCGGGGCUAAAUACACCACCGAAGCUGCGGAUUGAUACCAAUGGUAUCAGUGGUAGGGGAGCGUUCUAAGGACAGUGAAGUCAGACCGGAAGGACUGGUGGAGUGCUUAGAAGUGAGAAUGCCGGUAUGAGUAGCGAAAGACGGGUGAGAAUCCCGUCCACCGAAUGCCUAAGGUUUCCUGAGGAAGGCUCGUCCGCUCAGGGUUAGUCAGGACCUAAGCCGAGGCCGACAGGCGUAGGCGAUGGACAACAGGUUGAUAUUCCUGUACCACCUCUUUAUCGUUUGAGCAAUGGAGGGACGCAGAAGGAUAGAAGAAGCGUGCGAUUGGUUGUGCACGUCCAAGCAGUUAGGCUGAUAAGUAGGCAAAUCCGCUUAUCGUGAAGGCUGAGCUGUGAUGGGGAAGCUCCUUAUGGAGCGAAGUCUUUGAUUCCCCGCUGCCAAGAAAAGCUUCUAGCGAGAUAAAAGGUGCCUGUACCGCAAACCGACACAGGUAGGCGAGGAGAGAAUCCUAAGGUGUGCGAGAGAACUCUGGUUAAGGAACUCGGCAAAAUGACCCCGUAACUUCGGGAGAAGGGGUGCUUUCUUAACGGAAAGCCGCAGUGAAUAGGCCCAAGCGACUGUUUAGCAAAAACACAGCUCUCUGCGAAGCCGUAAGGCGAAGUAUAGGGGGUGACACCUGCCCGGUGCUGGAAGGUUAAGGAGAGGGGUUAGCGUAAGCGAAGCUCUGAACUGAAGCCCCAGUAAACGGCGGCCGUAACUAUAACGGUCCUAAGGUAGCGAAAUUCCUUGUCGGGUAAGUUCCGACCCGCACGAAAGGUGUAACGAUUUGGGCACUGUCUCAACCAGAGACUCGGUGAAAUUAUAGUACCUGUGAAGAUGCAGGUUACCCGCGACAGGACGGAAAGACCCCGUGGAGCUUUACUGUAGCCUGAUAUUGAAUUUUGGUACAGUUUGUACAGGAUAGGCGGGAGCCUUUGAAACCGGAGCGCUAGCUUCGGUGGAGGCGCUGGUGGGAUACCGCCCUGACUGUAUUGAAAUUCUAACCUACGGGUCUUAUCGACCCGGGAGACAGUGUCAGGUGGGCAGUUUGACUGGGGCGGUCGCCUCCUAAAGUGUAACGGAGGCGCCCAAAGGUUCCCUCAGAAUGGUUGGAAAUCAUUCGUAGAGUGCAAAGGCAUAAGGGAGCUUGACUGCGAGACCUACAAGUCGAGCAGGGACGAAAGUCGGGCUUAGUGAUCCGGUGGUUCCGCAUGGAAGGGCCAUCGCUCAACGGAUAAAAGCUACCCCGGGGAUAACAGGCUUAUCUCCCCCAAGAGUCCACAUCGACGGGGAGGUUUGGCACCUCGAUGUCGGCUCAUCGCAUCCUGGGGCUGUAGUCGGUCCCAAGGGUUGGGCUGUUCGCCCAUUAAAGCGGUACGCGAGCUGGGUUCAGAACGUCGUGAGACAGUUCGGUCCCUAUCCGUCGUGGGCGUAGGAAAUUUGAGAGGAGCUGUCCUUAGUACGAGAGGACCGGGAUGGACGCACCGCUGGUGUACCAGUUGUUCUGCCAAGGGCAUAGCUGGGUAGCUAUGUGCGGAAGGGAUAAGUGCUGAAAGCAUCUAAGCAUGAAGCCCCCCUCAAGAUGAGAUUUCCCAUAGCGUAAGCUAGUAAGAUCCCUGAAAGAUGAUCAGGUUGAUAGGUUCGAGGUGGAAGCAUGGUGACAUGUGGAGCUGACGAAUACUAAUAGAUCGAGGACUUAACCAUAUAA